rnacentral:lncRNA from 1 species
AUGGGAUCCUAUAGUUGGAAUGAGGUAUCAGAAGAUCUAGUGGUUCGGUGUGCUUUUGUUAAAUGGCAAGUUUUUAGAGAGGACCAAAGGCCUGCCUGGAGGGUUUCAGAGGUAGAGGGAAGGAAAACUGGCAACUGUCUGGCAACUGGUGUCAGCCUACCUACAAAUAACCUGCUUACUGCUGAGAUUCAACUGUAUGCACUGCCCUGGAGGCGCAUCUUCUGCAGAACUAACACAGCUUCUGCCGGGUAUAACAGGACUCGCUCAGGCUUCAGCAGUCCCUCUUCUGAUGGAACAGACUGCUGGAAAACUCAGAAAGCUGAGAAUAAAGUCACCCAGAAGAAUGAAGGCAGUUGGGUACGACUAUACCUGACCUAG